rnacentral:snRNA from 1 species
ACCCUUGCACCCCAGGAAUAUACCGUUUUUCACUGCUCUAGACCAUUUUACACUGUGGGUGUGUUGACCUCUGUGAUUUCCCCAAAUGUGGGAAACUCAACUGCAUAAUCUGUGGUAGUGGGGGACUGUGUUCGCACUUUCCCCUG